CUGUAAAGACUGAUGGAAGUUAACCUUCCCGACAACAAGACUUAUUACAGUGGAUCAAUGUCACUGAUCGGUGUACUUUGAUGAUUUGGUGACGGUACCCAGUAGGAGAUUCAGAUGAAGUCAUGUGGAUGUGCUUGAUAUUUUGAAGGACAAAGAGCCUUCAGAUAAUAAAGGUUUUGAAGAGACGCUUCCUUUGGAAAAAGACAAAGAGAGAUGAAAAAGCAGAAAGCCAGUCCUAUAAAGCACAUACAAGCACAUCCACCAACGUGAUGGGUGUCUGAGUUUAGAAGAGGGUAUGGGGUCGCCCACUCAGACACGUGGGUUUUCCCCGGGUGCUCCGGUUUCCUCCCACACUGACCCCACAAAACUUUUAAUGCUGCCUGCUUGAAAAAAACAUUGCUUCCUUUAGGAUAUGCAUGUUUCUAUAAAGCAGAAGGUUCCAAGCCCUUA